rnacentral:rRNA from 1 species
UUGGUGUGAAUUGCAGAAUCCCGUGAACCAUGGAGUCUUUGAACGCAAGUUGCGCCCGAAGCCAUUAGGCUGAGGGCACGUCUGCCUGGGCGUCA